rnacentral:rRNA from 1 species
AACUUGCCUAUGAGCGGGGGACAACAUUCGGAAACGGAUGCUAAUACCCCAUAGGUGGAUUGGUCGCAUGACGAAUUCAUUAAAGGUGGCUUUGCUACCACUCAUGGAUAGCCUCGCGGCGUAUUAGCUAGUUGGUAAGGUAAUGGCUUACCAAGGCGGCGACGGGUAGCCGGACUGAGAGGUUGGUCGGCCACAUUGGGACUGAGAUACGGCCCAG